AUUGAACGCUGGCGGCAGGCCUAACACAUGCAAGUCGAACGAGUGGCGGACGGGUGAGUAAUGUCAGGGAAACUGCCCGAGGGGGGGGGCUAACUACUGGAAACGGUAGCUAAUCCCGCAUACCAUCGGAUGUGCCCAGAUGGGAUUAGCUAGUAGGUGGGGUAACGGCUCGCCUAGGCGACGAUCCCUAGCUGGUCUGAGAGGAUGACCAGCCACACUGGAACUGAGACACGGUCCAGACUCCUACGGGAGGCAGCAGUGGGGAAUAUUGCACAAUGGGCGCAAGCCUGAUGCAGCCAUGCCGCGUGUGUGAAGAAGGCCUUCGGGUUGUAAAGUACUUUCAGCGGGGAGGCGUUACUCACAGAAGAAGCACCGGCUAACUCCGUGCCAGCAGCCGCGGUAAUAC
rnacentral:rRNA from 1 species